rnacentral:tRNA from 1 species
CGGAAGAUUACCCAAGUCCGGCUGAAGGGAUCGGUCUUGAAAACCGAGAGUCGGGGAAACCCGAGCGGGGGUUCGAAUCCCUCAUCUUCCGCCAU